UUUUAAAUUGAAAAUUUUUUAUUUUGAAUUUUGAUAAACAGAUAAUUUGCUACUUAAAACAUGAAUGUUGGGACAAUGUCAAUAGAGACCACAAAAACUCACAUGAUAGAUCUUUCAACAGCAAUGACAUGAACACAUUAAUGAGUUAAACACAGUAUCAACACUACUUCAAGCUGACACAGUUCAUCUUGUGUGUGUGUGUGUGUUUUGUUUACAAUAAUAGAACAACAAAAUAAAGCUGUCAUUUAAUCAUACUGUAAAGUUUGUAAUGAAAAAAAAAAUAUUCACAACAAUUAUCU